rnacentral:rRNA from 1 species
UACACUCCUACGGGAGGCAGCAGUGGGGAAUUUUGGACAAUGGGCGAAAGCCUGAUCCAGCAAUGCCGCGUGAGUGAAGAAGGCCUUCGGGUUGUAAAGCUCUUUUGUCAGGGAAGAAACGGUGAAAGCUAAUAUCUUUUGCUAAUGACGGUACCUGAAGAAUAAGCACCGGCUAACUACGUGCCAGCAGCCGCGGUAAUACGUAGGGUGCAAGCGUUAAUCGGAAUUACUGGGCGUAAAGCGUGCGCAGGCGGUUUUGUAAGUCUGAUGUGAAAUCCCCGGGCUCAACCUGGGAAUUGCAUUGGAGACUGCAAGGCUAGAAUCUGGCAGAGGGGGGUAGAAUUCCACGUGUAGCAGUGAAAUGCGUAGAUAUGGGGAGGAACACCGAUGGCGAAGGCAGCCCCCUGGGUCAAGAUUGACGCUCAUGCACGAAAGCGUGGGGAGCAAACAGGAUUAGAAACCCGGGUAGUCCC